rnacentral:rRNA from 1 species
UACGGAGGAUUCGAGCGUUAUCCGGAUUUAUUGGGUUUAAAGGGUGCGUAGGCUGUCGGAUAAGUUAGAGGUCAAAUGUCGGGGCUUAACCCCGUGCCUGCCUCUGAUACUGUUCGACUGGAGAGCGGAUGCAGCAGGCGGAAUGAGUAGUGUAGCGGUGAAAUGCAUAGAUAUUACACAGAACACCGAUUGCGAAGGCAGCUUGCUAGGCCGGAUCUGACACUGAUGCACGAAAGCGUGGGGAUCGAACAGG